rnacentral:rRNA from 1 species
GAUGAACGCUGGCGGCGUGCCUAAUACAUGCAAGUCGAGCGAACAGACGAGGAGCUUGCUCCUCUGAUGUUAGCGGCGGACGGGUGAGUAACACGUGGAUAACCUACCUAUAAGACUGGGAUAACUUCGGGAAACCGGAGCUAAUACCGGAUAAUAUUUUCAACCGCAUGGUUCAAUAGUGAAAGACGGUUUUGCUGUCACUUAUAGAUGGAUCCGCGCUGCAUUAGCUAGUUGGUAAGGUAACGGCUUACCAAGGCGACGAUGCGUAGCCGACCUGAGAGGGUGAUCGGCCACACUGGAACUGAGACACGGUCCAGACUCCUACGGGAGGCAGCAGUAGGGAAUCUUCCGCAAUGGGCGAAAGCCUGACGGAGCAACGCCGCGUGAGUGAUGAAGGUCUUCGGAUCGUAAAACUCUGUUAUUAGGGAAGAACAAAUGUGUAAGUAACUAUGCACAUCUUGACGGUACCUAAUCAGAAAGCCACGGCUAACUACGUG